rnacentral:rRNA from 1 species
UACGUAGGGACCAAGCGUUGUUCGGAUUUACUGGGCGUAAAGGGCGCGUAGGCGGCAAUUCAAGUCAGCUGUGAAAUCUCCGGGCUUAACUCGGAACGGUCAGCUGAUACUGCUUUGCUAGAGUGCAGAAGGGGCAAUCGGAAUUCUUGGUGUAGCGGUGAAAUGCGUAGAUAUCAGGAGGAACACCAAUAGCGAAGGCAGCUCGCUGGGACGGUACUGACGCUAAGGCGCGAAAGCGUGGGGAGCGAACAGG